UACGAAGGGGCUAGCGUUGUUCGGAAUUACUGGGCGUAAAGCGCGCGUAGGCGGUGAUCUUUGUCAGAGGUGAAAGCCCGGGGCUACAACUCCGGAAUUGCCUUUGAAACGGGAUCGCUUGAGUCGAGAGAGGAUGGCGGAAUUCCUAGUGUAGAGGUGAAAUUCGUAGAUAUUAGGAAGAACACCGGUGGCGAAGGCGGCAUCUGGCUCGGUACUGACGCUCAGGCGCGAAAGCGUGGGAGCAAACAGGG
rnacentral:rRNA from 1 species